rnacentral:rRNA from 1 species
CCCUUAGAUGUUCUGGGCUGCACGCGCGCUACACUGAAGCUAUCAACACGUUUUCCCUCCCUGAGAAGGGCGGGUAACCUUUUGAAUCAGCUUCGUGGUAGGGAUCGGGGCUUGCAAUUGUUCCCCGUGAACCAGGAAGUCCUAGUAGACGCGAGUCAUAAGCUCGCAUCGAUUAAGUCCCUGCCCUUUGUACACACCGCCCGUCGCUACUACCGAUUGAACGUUUUAGUGAGGCAUUUGGACCGACGCAUCUCAGUUUAACCGCUGGUUUGUGUUGGAAAGACUUCCAAACUUGAGCGUUUAGAGGAAGUAAAAGUCGUAACA